rnacentral:misc_RNA from 1 species
CGGAUCAAUCCAUGGACUUCGUAGCCCUUCUCGAGAAGGAACUCAGUAAGGUAGGAACCAUCCUGACCAGUAAUGCCAGUAAUUAAGGCCGUCCGGGGCUUCUCCGCCGGUUCGGCGGCCUUGCCGUUGGUAUCGGAGGCGGAUCUGGUAGCGUCGGCGAUGGAUGCCAUCAGAAAUCAAGGCGAUGGAUGAGUCGGAUCUGGGAAAAAAUCAAAAG